rnacentral:lncRNA from 1 species
ACCGUCGGGUGGAUGCCUUGCGCGGAGGCAUCGAGUGUCGAUCUCGCGGGGGAAGAUUAGGAGUGGGUGACGGAGAGACGGUCGGAGACGGCUCCGUUGAACACUCCUUUAAGAACAAAGGUACUGCGAAGGUUCAAGACCCUUCCUCUAGCGCCAAUCCUGUUGGUGCAAAAAUCUGCUUGCGCUGGAGAAGCUGGAGUCGGGGAAGCCGCAGUCGCCGUCGGGACCUGCAAAGGAAGUCUAAAUCGGAGGUGGGGUUGCUCCGGCAAGACCCUCCGAUGCUCAAGUCAGUUCUCUGCCUCAACAAGAAUGGAGUGCUCGAACGGAGAAUUUAGCAGAGUUUUGAGAUAAGAAAUGAGCUUAGAGAAUAAUAUAUCUGGGUCCCCCUUUUAUAGGCGGGGGAGGUAACAGAUUGAUGGCGACGUUUGUAACCACCAGGUAGUGGGCCGCCCUUAGUCAGGAGGAAUCUACUGCGA